rnacentral:rRNA from 1 species
AACGAACGCUGGCGGCGUGCUUAACACAUGCAAGUCGCGUGCGCAGUUUCCGUAGCAAUACGGGGAUGGGCGCACGGCGCACGGGUGCGUAACACGUGGGCAAUCUGCCCUCUGAUGGGGAAUAACCCGCCGAAAGGCGGGCUAAUUCCGCAUAACAUUCCUCGGACUUAGGUUUGGGGAUUCAAAGCAGCAAUGCGUCAGAGGAGGAGCCCGCGCCCGAUUAGCUAGUUGGUAGGGUAACGGCCUACCAAGGCUAUGAUCGGUAGCUGG